AAAAAGAUAGAGAGAGAAAGUUACCUUAGAGGGGGAGAGGAGUUAGGGAGGAAGAUACGAGUAGUGCUCGUCUGAAAGACUUCUCCCAUAUAUAUAAAAACGGUUUCCUCGUAACUUCCUCGUAACAUUACGACGAAGUUACGAGGAAACCGUUUUUAUAUAUAUGGGAGAAGUCUUUCAGACGAGCAGUGCUCGUAUCUUCCUCCCUAACUCCUCUCCCCCUCUAAGGUAACUUUCUCUCUCUAUCUUUU
rnacentral:pre_miRNA from 1 species